ACUCCUACGGGAGGCAGCAGUAGGGAAUCUUCCACAAUGGGCGCAAGCCUGAUGAAGCAACACCGCGUGAGUGAAGAAGGGUUUCGGCUCGUAAAGCUCUGUUGUUAAAGAAGAACACGUAUGAGAGUAACUGUUCAUACGUUGACGGUAUUUAACCAGAAAGUCACGGCUAACUACGUGCCAGCAGCCGCGGUAAUACGUAGGUGGCAAGCGUUAUCCGGAUUUAUUGGGCGUAAAGAGAGUGCAGGCGGUUUUCUAAGUCUGAUGUGAAAGCCUUCGGCUUAACCGGAGAAGUGCAUCGGAAACUGGAUAACUUGAGUGCAGAAGAGGGUAGUGGAACUCCAUGUGUAGCGGUGGAAUGCGUAGAUAUAUGGAAGAACACCAGUGGCGAAGGCGGCUACCUGGUCUGCAACUGACGCUGAGACUCGAAAGCAUGGGUAGCGAACAGGAUUAGAUACCCUGGUAGGCUACCG
rnacentral:rRNA from 1 species